rnacentral:rRNA from 1 species
AGGGAAUCUUCGGCAAUGGACGGAAGUCUGACCGAGCAACGCCGCGUGAGUGAAGAAGGUUUUCGGAUCGUAAAGCUCUGUUAAUCGGGACGAAAGGCCUUCUUGCGAAUAGUGAGAAGGAUUGACGGUACCGGAAUAGAAAGCCACGGCUAACUACGUGCCAGCAGCCGCGGUAAUACGUAGGUCCCGAGCGUUGUCCGGAUUUAUUGGGCGUAAAGCGAGCGCAGGCGGUUAGAUAAGUCUGAAGUUAAAGGCUGUGGCUUAACCAUAGUACGCUUUGGAAACUGUUUAACUUGAGUGCAAGAGGGGAGAGUGGAAUUCCAUGUGUAGCGGUGAAAUGCGUAGAUAUAUGGAGGAACACCGGUGGCGAAAGCGGCUCUCUGGCUUGUAACUGACGCUGAGGCUCGAAAGCGUGGGGAGCAAACAGGAUUAGAUACCCUGGUAGUCCACGCCGUAAACGAUGAGUGCUAGGUGUUAGACCCUUUCCGGGGUUUAGUGCCGUAGCUAACGCAUUAAGCACUCCGCCUGGGGAGUACGACCGCAAGGUUG